rnacentral:RNase_P_RNA from 1 species
CAAAAACCUAUGACUAUUCCUAUUGCCUAUAACCUUGUUACCUUCGACUUAUUUAAAAGAGCGGGGAGGAAAGUCCGAACACCCAUAUGACUUUUGUUAUAUGAAGUAGGCAGUUGUUAACGGCAACCGUUCCGAGCAAUUGGAAUAGGGAAAGUGCCACAGAGACGAUACUAGCCGCGCAUAGCGCGGAAAUUCUAAAACCAAAAUUCCAAAUUCCAAACAAAUUCAAAAUAUCUAAAGUUAUUUUGUCAUUCUGUCCGCCAGCUGGCGGAUCAGGAUGACAAAUGUUUGAUUUUGGUUAUUUGUUAUUUUGUAUUUAGUGCUUCCGCGUUGUGUGCGGCAAAAGGUGAAAAGUUGAAUGAUGUUUUAGAUCGUUUAACGAUCUAAAGCUACAUUCUUUCUUUGUCGGUGACGGCAAAUGAUGGUAAACCCUGCCUGGUGCAAGAACAAAUUCCGAGCAAUCGGGAAAAAAGUAGUUCGCAUGACUUUGCCAGUGAUGGCAAAGCUAGAUAGAUGAUUGUCGCCUUGGAUUUAUUCAAGGAACAGAAUUCGGCUUAUUGCUUGUUGCCUU